rnacentral:snoRNA from 1 species
UUGUCCUGGCCUGUGCUUUGCUCCCCUGUGCUCAACUCUAACAGGGUAGUCUGACAGGACACACAGCAGUUUUCCUCUCAAUUUCAAAAGGCAGUCCUAAGUACAGGGCUGGCUCUUAAAGGCAGGAAAGGACAAU